rnacentral:rRNA from 1 species
UAUGGAGAGUUUGAUCCUGGCUCAGAACUAACGCUGGCGGCGUGUCUUAGUCAUGCAAGUCGAACGAGAAAGCGUUCUUCGGAACGUGAGUACAGUGGCGGACGGGUGAGUAACACGUGGGGAACCUGCCCUCAAGCUGGGAACAACCCGCCUAACGGCGGGCUAAUACCGAAUGUGGUUGUCAGUCCGCAUGGUAUGACAACUAAAGGUGGCCUCUCCUUGGAAGCUACCGCUUGUGGAUGGCCCCGCGCUCAAUUAGCUAGUUGGUAGGGUAACGGCCUACCAAGGCGACGAUUGAUAGCCGACCUGAGAGGGUGAUCGGCCACACUGGGAUUGAGAUAAGGCCCAGUCUCCUACGGGAGCCAGCAGUCUAGAAAUUUGGGCAAUGGGCGAAAGCCUGACCCAGCGACGCCGCGUGGGGGAUGAAGCUUCUCGGAGUGUAAACCCCUGUUAGGUGGGACGAAAGCCCGUAUACGAAUAGUAGGCGGGUUUGACGGUACCACCAGAGGAAGCUCCGGCUAACUCCGUGCCAGCAGCCGCGGUAAU